AGCGAGGUGGGGAAGCCAGGUUAUCCCGGCGGGCUCAUAACCCGCAGAGCGGUUUCCACUUUGCAAAAGUGCAAAUGGCCGUAAGUUCAAAUCAACCCCUCGCUA
rnacentral:tRNA from 1 species